ensembl:lncRNA
CCCAGUGAUGCAGCUUGCAUUCUCAAGGCACUGGAGGUCUGGCUGCUGGUGGCUAAAAGCACAGCUCGCCUCUUCCAAGCCAGUCAACAUCUCUAUCUCCUGCCUGGCUGUUCAUGCAAAGAUCCACAGGUGAACACCUCCUCCAAGAGAAUACACCUGUUUUUUUCAGUGUGAAAAAACUCAGAUUAAAAUGGAAGAGGAAAACACACUGUAAAGCCCAGGAGCCCUAAAAGUUUUGUAACUGUAUUAUAGCCUUGCUGAGCAGUAAUGGUCAUCAGUGUGAUUUCACUGUGUAUGGGAGCUGUUGAAUCACGGCCUGAACCUCUGAUUGAGAACCUGAGGCAAGCGCUGAGUCAGCUGUGGGAGCACAGGUGAAGGCAUUUCACCUGUGUGACCGGAAGGGGUGGAACCUGGCUGCACUUCUCCUAGACCCCAUUUAAGGGCUGACUGCUACUGAGGAAGGGUCUCUUCCUGGAGAUUGCUCUUUGUGGAGUUUUUGUGAGCCUACAGUACUGGACAUGAAGGUCAGGCUUUUGUAUCCUCUGUGAAUGCUGACCAUGGCUGGUCUUUCUGCCCACCUGCCCCUUACAGAGCCUCCACUGUCAGAGGGUGCUGGAGUUCCCACCCUAUAUGAAUAGGGGUAAACAGAAGACCCGAGUGCCCACUACUCAUUGGAAAGCUCCACGUGAACAAUGAGUCUAAUCAAACCAACAAACCAAACCAAAUCACAAAUCCAGCAGAUCAUCCCCAUCUGGAAAGGUUUGUCUGAAACAAUUUUUGGCAUGGAAAAGUGCUCUAAGACAAACCUCUGGUUAACUUGGAAUUGAAGACCUUAAUGCAAUGGAGAGCAAUCUCAAUUUCUGAUGGAAAUGGCAGUGAGCAACCAAUUUUUAGCAGAUUUUCCUUUUUCAUCCAUGAAAGUCAGAGCAAAACUCACAGAAUCAAUGAGUCACAGAAUUGUAGGGGUUGGAAGGCAUCUCUGGAGAUCAUCUAGUCCAACUCCCUGAGAAAGCACAUUCCCUACAGUAGGCUCCACAGGAAAAUGUGCAGGUUUUGAGUAUCUCCAGAGAAAGAGACACCACAGCCUCUCCGGGCAGUAAAGAUCUGUUUUUCUCAUACUCUCAUGGAACUUCCUGUGUUUCAGUUUGUGCUUGCUGCCCCUUCUUUUGCUGGGCACUUCUGAAAAGGGCCUGGUCCUAUGCACCUGACUCCCACCAUACAUAUAAGCAUUGAUAAGUCCCCACCUUGGCCGUCUCCUGUCCAAGCUGAGCUGUCCCAGGGCUCUCAGCCUAAAACUCAGAAGAUAUGAGCUAAUGCAAAUUAAAACCAGGAAAGAAGCAUUUGUGGUGGCUGCAGAAACCACAGCAGAAGGAGCUGCAGAUCCCCCAGCACAAAGUUCCUGUGCUUCCCUCUGAGAAGGACACUGGGCUGUGAUCAGGAGGCAGAACUGCGCAGUCUUUGCUCUGGAACACCAAAAAAUAUCCAUAUUAUGUCAUGGAAUCUCACCUGUGUAAAGCUCCCUCUGCCCUUGUUCUCUGAGCUCAACUAUGAGAACCUGGCUCUGCUGGCGGUGUCUGCUGUGGCUCCUGGCCCAGACACAGGCUUGGUUUUGCCUUACCUGGGAAUUAGAAGAAUGGGAUGAAUAUGGGAGAGAAGAAGGGUCGAUGCCCCACACCUGUCAGGGUUUGAGAGGCAUUUGGAUAGAGCCUUCAAUAAUACACUUUAAGUUUUGGUUAGCCCUGGUGUGAUCAGACAGUUAGACUUGAUUAUCUUUGUAGAUCUCUUCCAACUGAGCUAUUCUCUCCUUUCUCUCUUCUCUCAUCUUCUCCUACCCUACUCUACCCUAUAUGGUUCAAGCCAUCUCUUGCCCUGAUGUGGAUUUGAGGCUAAUUUCCAUACCACUGAACUUCCUGCCCUUCUAGAAGAAGGACAUGAAUAACAUAAAAGCAAUGGAGGAUUUGUUGAAAGUAUUUCUGAAUGAUGCAGACCUCUUUUCUUGUCUGUUCUGUCUGCUUCUUACAAAGGCUCUGGCCAGGUUCACUGCCAGUGUGUUUUUUUUUUCCCUGUUACUACAUCACUGAACAAGCAUGGAAAAAAAAAAUGUCAUUUACUUGCUUUCUAGAUAUUAGCCAGGAGUGACAAUAAAUUUAAUGCAGAAGUUUGGGAUAAAGCAAAAACUAUUUCUGAGGGAUGACAGCAUGUGUGAAGCAUAAUGCUUGAGGCUUAGCAGUUAAAUUCUGAACCCAUGUGAUAUUAUGCUGCCCUAUGUCAUUAACAAGCUGUCAAAAUGACAGCAAACUGGAUUAUCUCCUUUGUAAUGCAGUCUGUUCAGCACAAAAUAAAUGACUGCUGACUUAUAACAAUGCGCAGCACCAUUAUAUUGAAACCAUGCUGUGACCAGAGGCAAUCCUACGUGGAAUUACCUUGGGAAAUGAAGCUGCAAUUAAUCUUUUCUAGCUACAUCUUACCCCAGGUUCUUCUUAUCCUAAUAAUCUAAUUAAAGAAUGCAUUAUUUCCAGUUUCGUACCAGCAUAACUUUCUUGAUGCGAUUGUAAGUAUACCGCUAGUGACUUGGGGUAACACAGGAGAGAAGCAAGGCAUGAAUACAUCCAGCACAACCACACCACCCUGGAUUUUUCCACUUGAGGAAUGUCUCUAAUGUACUCUCUGGGGACCAUCUUUGAGGAGAAAUCUGAAGUUUGACUCUGAUGCGAUCAGGCUGCAAUCCUAGCAGCUUUUGCUAUCAACCAAACCAACAGAAAUAAGGGGACGAUGAUAAUUCAUCUGAUAGCACCUGUUAGUUGUUUGACAGAGCCUCUGAUUUAUGUAAGAUCCAUAAAGCUACUUUGCAGAGAUGAUCACAAACUUGAACAUGGAAAUCCAGCUGAGGUUUAUCCAAGACUUAGCAGAAUAAGAUUCUUUCUCACACCAUUCAAACUAAAAGACAUGAAUUUAAGGAGUUGUUUGUUCAAGCCUCUAUAGAAUUUCUUAGAGCUUCCUUCAGUCUUUUUUUUUUUUUAAGCUACCAAGAUCAUUUUAAAUUCCAAUCCUCACCUUGAUGGACUGCAGGUCUUCCAGCUUUGUGUCUCUACAGAUCAACCAAAUGCUGUCUCUAUGUACUGACCCUCAACAUUGCUACUAAAGACAUGGAGAUGCAUCAGACCCAAUACACAGCACAAUCCUCCAGCUUGGCAAUGAACUGCAGAUGACUAUGCCAUUGAGCUGCCCCUUGAAAACACAUUUGCCUGAUAGGAGAGUGACAUAUGAGGUGGCAACAGAAAUGGGGUGGACUACCAGCAGCCUCAGAGGAAGGUUCCAGCUACGACAGAACCUUGCAGAGCACUUUGGUGGGCGCCUACUGGACUCUAUAUCCUGUAUUCACCUGGGACAACCAAAUGGUGUGGGGCAGAGGGAUGGAUGAUAUUCAUACUUCAAGCAAUGCCUCUACCUUGUAUUGGACUCAGAUCCAUUCUCUUGGAAGUCCCAGAAAGGUUGAGACUCGCUCUUCUUGCCACGAGGAUAGUCACAUAAACAGCUUCUCCAAAGACAACAACCACCUGUGGUUGUUUUACCUUUCCAGGAGAAUGAAGGCAGUGUUUCGUAUGUGAGUCAGGUGUGUAACACCAGGCAGGCCUAGGCAAGCAGACUGGGCUGUAUGUUUGCUACCUUUUUGGCCCUUCUAGGGAGUCUGAGCUCACACGCACGUGGGCCGCCUCUCACAGCAUCAGCCAGACCAUGGAUGCCUCCAAAUUUGGGAGGUGCAGGCUGCUGCUCACUGAGCAUGCUGGUGCUGGUUUCUAGUUUUGCUGCAGAUUCCUGUUGGAUGAGGAAGCAAAUUGUUCAGACUCUCUUCACUCUGGUUCCCUGUUUGUAAAAUAAAGCUCAUAGUAUUUUGCAUAUCCCUUUCAUCUCCCUGUUUUUGUUCAUGUGACCAAGCGAUGAAGCCAAGUCCCAGACUUCCUGCUGCCACAGCCCCUCUGUGGACCUCAUCUUGGGGACAAGAAUCUCCAAUGGAAGCCAGAUUUUGUGACUAGUCACCUCCACUGUUUGCACUGUGGAUAUGAAACCCCAUUUGUAUCUCUUGGCUCACACAGGGAGAGCAUGGAGAGUUCAGGAGGAACAAGGAAGGAAGAGUUGGGUUGAAAUUUCAGUUGUCGGCAAGACAAUGCUAAACUGCCUCCAGCCUGGCCUGUUCCUGUAAUCUGUUGCUGCAAAGGCACUGUGUAUCAAAACUGAUGUGAUCUGAGAGGGGAUCAGGAG